AUUAGAAUCCUCUCAUUGUGCUCGCUUGCUUGUGAUCAGCUGCAGUGACUGUUAAUGAUACCGGAACGACUAAGCCAUCUGUUAUUGUUUGUCUAUACCUCCAGUUUGGCGGACAGCUUAGAACUUCUGUUUCAGAAUGCGUAGAACUCUACUGGUGAAGAUCACUACAAAUUCCGUUCUGGGCUGGAAACCUAUACAUUUGAUGGCAUUUUUUCAGAAAUGAUUCGAACUAGGGAAAGUCAAGGGCAGGAAGUGAUUCAAUUCAAGAGACCUGAUGUUCGAGUCCUACCUGAUCUUCCUCCCGUACAUCUUCGCUCUGCUGGCCGUGAUGCUUUUCGUGGCCGUGAUGUUGGGCGUCGUGGUUUACAUUUUCCUCAAAAUCAAGGAGCACUGCCAAGAGGAGGCUGAUAGGCAGUUCGUCGACUGAAUCCUCUGCAGCACAGAUGAAGCAAAACUUUGUUCGAAUAUAAAGAACUGUAUUUAAAUCAGUAAACAUUUCUGGAACUUC